UGGGGAAUAUUGCACAAUGGGCGAAAGCCUGAUGCAGCAACGCCGCGUGAGUGAUGAAGGUCUUCGGAUUGUAAAGCUCUGUCUUUUGGGACGAUAAUGACGGUACCAAAGGAGGAAGCCACGGCUAACUACGUGCCAGCAGCCGCGGUAAUACGUAGGUGGCGAGCGUUGUCCGGAUUUACUGGGCGUAAAGGGUGCGUAGGCGGAUGUUUAAGUGAGAUGUGAAAUACCCGGGCUUAACUUGGGUGCUGCAUUUCAAACUGGAUAUCUAGAGUGCAGGAGAGGAGAAUGGAAUUCCUAGUGUAGCGGUGAAAUGCGUAGAGAUUAGGAAGAACACCAGUGGCGAAGGCGAUUCUCUGGACUGUAACUGACGCUGAGGCACGAAAGCGUGGGUAGCAAACAGGAUUAGAUACCCUGGUAGUCCACGCCGUAAACGAUGAGUACUAGGUGUAGGAGGUAUCGACCCCUUCUGUGCCGCAGUAAACACAUUAAGUACUCCGCCUGGGAAGUACGAUCGCAAGAUUAAAACUCUAAAGUGAAUUGACGGGGGUC
rnacentral:rRNA from 1 species